rnacentral:rRNA from 1 species
GACAGAGGUGCCAAGCGUUAGGCGGAAUCACUGGGCUUAAAGCGUGUGUAGGCGGGUGCCUAAGUACCUUGUGAAAUCCCACGGCUCAACCGUGGAACUGCUGGGUAUACUGGGUGCCUUGGGUCAUCUAGGGGCUGCCGGAACAAAUGGUGGAGCGGUGAAAUGCGUAGAGAUCCGGAGGAACACCAAAGGCGAAGGCAGUGUCCUGGGGAGUACCUGACGCUCAGGUGCGAAAGCCAGGGGAGCGAACGGG